GUGCCAGCCGCCGCGGUAAUACGAAGGUGGCGAGCGUUGUUCGGAAUCACUGGGCUUAAAGAGCACGUAGGCGGCCCAUCAAGUACUUUGUGAAAUCCCAUGGCUCAACCAUGGAAUUGCUUGGUAUACUGUUCGGGCUUGAGGCAGGUAUGGGCGUGUGGAACUCUUGGUGGAGCGGUGGAAUGCGUAGAUAUCAAGAGGAACGCCGGAGGCGAAAGCGAUACGCUGGGCCUGUCCUGACGCUGAGGUGCGAAAGCCAGGGGAGCAAACGGGAUUAGAUACCCCCGUAGUCC
rnacentral:rRNA from 1 species